rnacentral:rRNA from 1 species
UGGGCGUAAGGGCUCGCAGGCGGUUUCUUAAGUCUGAUGUGAAAGCCCCCGGCUCAACCGGGGAGGGUCAUUGGAAACUGGGAAACUUGAGUGCACAAGAGGAGAGUGGAAUUCCACGUGUAGCGGUGAAAUGCGUAGAGAUGUGGAGGAACACCAGUGGCGAAGGCGACUCUCUGGUCUGUAACUGACGCUGAGGAGCGAAAGCGUGGGGAGCGAACAGGAUUAGAUACCCUGGUAGUCCACGCCGUAAACGAUGAUUGCUAACUGUUAGGCGGUUUCCCCCC